AUUUUUUACGACGCGCUGGACGGAAGAAUACGUUCUUCCAAUAGUUUUCCCAAUUUUUCUGAAACUUUCGCCAUCUUUCCACAACUUAAUGAUAAUUUUUCUUUCCGACAUUUUUUUGUUUUAAUUAAAACGCGUCACGAGCUCAUUAAACGAUUAAUUUUAUUAAAACAUAACAGAAUCCACGCAAAAAAAGAAACAAAUUCAUGAGAAGUAACGGUAUUUCCAAUUCAAACUAACUGAACGCAGACUUGGUUGUGCCUACUUUUACUUGUUCUUACACUAAAAUAGUGUUAUCUCAAAAAUUAAAAUAGGAGUAUACAUAGUUGUUUUUGCAUUUUGAACUUAAGAAUAUAAAAAAGAAAUACAUGUAAAAAAUUUGAACUGAAUUACCCAUUUACAUUGUGUUUUAACUUAACUUAAAAAAGUGUCCGGUGAACGCAGACUUUAUUGGCUAUGUGUAUAUAAAGAUUCAAAAAAUUGCCAAAGAAGGGCAAACGAUAUUCUACGAAACGUAGCUAAAACCACAAAGCUACACCAGCCAUUGAAAUAUUUAACUUUUUCUUAUGAUGAUGUAACAAAUUUGGCUUUUGCUGCAUGGAAACGUGAGAGGACAUUUUUCAUCCACCGAAAACAUUGCGACCAAGUUGACAGUACUUUACCCGGUACAAAUCGUGAUCCAUUUCGAUUAAGUAGACCCGAAUUUUGUGACAAGGUUUAGUUGUUGUUGUUGUAGCAGAAGAAUUCUGCCGAGUUGGCAGUCCUUUGCCGAUAUAAAUCCGGGUCCGUUCCGGUUACGUAGAUCCGACUGUCGUGGGAACGGACAAGGUUUAUUUAUCUACCUAUGUUUAAAGCAAUAUCAAUAUUUGUAUGCUCUUUAACCAAAUAUUAUUUUUGAAGAAUUAUUUCACAAAUAGAAUAUUGAUUUAUAUUUUCAUGCAUACUGUAAUUCAUUGUUCACAAAAUUUUUUAAACUCAUGUGAUUUCAUAUUUAAGCCUUCUUUCAGUAACCACUAGUACAUAUGAAAGUAAUACUGAACACAUCCAAAUAAAGCAAAAUGUAUACUCGAA